GAUGAACGCUGGCGGCGUGCCUAAUACAUGCAAGUCGAGCGAACAGACGAGGAGCUUGCUCCUCUGACGUUAUCGGCGGACGGGUGAGUAACACGUGGAUAACCUACCUAUAAGACUGGGAUAACUUCGGGAAACCGGAGCUAAUACCGGAUAACAUGUUGAACCGCAUGGUUCAACAGUGAAAGACGGUCUUGCUGUCACUAAUAGAUGGAUCCGCGCCGCAUUAGCUAGUUGGUAAGGUAACGGCUUACCAAGGCAACGAUGCGUAGCCGACCUGAGCGGGUGAUCGGCCACACUGGAACUGAGACACGGUCCAGACUCCUACGGGAGGCAGCAGUAGGGAAUCUUCCGCAAUGGGCGAAAGCCUGACGGAGCAACGCCGCGUGAGUGAAGAAGGUCUUCGGAUCGUAAAACUCUGUUAUUAGGGAAGAACAAAUGUGUAAGUAACUAUGCACGUCUUGACGGUACCUGAUCAGAAAGCCACGGCUAACUACGUG
rnacentral:rRNA from 1 species